UAACUGCGAGUGAAGCGGGAAAAGCUCAAAUUUAAAAUCUGGUAGUCUCUGGCUGCCCGAGUUGUAAUCUGGAGAAGUGUUUUCUGUGCUGGGCCGUGUACAAGUCUCUUGGAAUAGAGCGUCAUAGAGGGUGAGAAUCCCGUCUUUGACACGGACAUCCAGUGCUCUGUGAUGCACUCUCAAAGAGUCGAGUUGUUUGGGAAUGCAGCUCAAAAUGGGUGGUAAAUUCCAUCUAAAGCUAAAUAUUGGCAAGAGACCGAUAGCGAACAAGUACCGUGAGGGAAAGAUGAAAAGAACUUUGGAAAGAGAGUUAAACAGUACGUGAAAUUGUUGAAAGGGAAACGCUUGAAGUCAGUCGCGUCUAGCAAGGAUCAGCCUUUCUCGGAAGGUGUAUUUCUUGCUUGACGGGUCAACAUCAAUUUUGAUUACUGGAAAAAGGCCAGAGGAAGGUGGCACCUUCGGGUGUGUUAUAGCCUUUGGUCAUAUACAGUAGUUGGGAUUGAGGAAUUCAGCAUGCCUUCAUGGCUGGGGUUCGCCCACAUUCAUGCUUAGGAUGUUGGCAUAAUGGCUUUAAGCGACCCGUCUUGAAACACGGACCAAGGAGUCUAACAUACCUGCGAGUGUUUGGGUGUAAAAACCCGAGCGCGUAAUGAAAGUGAAAGUUGAGACCCUUUUAAGGGGCAUCGACGCCCGGACCAGACCUUCUGUGACGGAUCUGCGGUAGAGCAUGUAUGUUGGGACCCGAAAGAUGGUGAACUAUGCCUGAAUAGGGUGAAGCCAGAGGAAACUCUGGUGGAGGCUCGUAGCGAUUCUGACGUGCAAAUCGAUCGUCGAAUUUG
rnacentral:rRNA from 1 species